rnacentral:tRNA from 1 species
GGUGGCUCAGCAGUAGAGUGCUUGCCUUGAAUGCAUGAGGCCCUGGGUUCAAUUCCUCAGCACCA